GCGAGUCUAACUCAGUGGUAGAGCACAUGCUUAGCAUGCAUGAAAUCCUGGGUUCAAUCCCCAGUACCUCCA
rnacentral:tRNA from 1 species